rnacentral:rRNA from 1 species
UACGUAGGGUGCAAGCGUUAAUCGGAAUUACUGGGCGUAAAGCGUGCGCAGGCGGCUUUGCAAGACAGAUGUGAAAUCCCCGGGCUUAACCUGGGAACUGCAUUUGUGACUGCAUGGCUGGAGUGCGGCAGAGGGGGAUGGAAUUCCGCGUGUAGCAGUGAAAUGCGUAGAUAUGCGGAGGAACACCGAUGGCGAAGGCAAUCCCCUGGGCCUGCACUGACGCUCAUGCACGAAAGCGUGGGGAGCAAACAGGAUUAGAAACCCCAGUAGUCC